AAUAAUCUCAUUUUUCGUUUUUCUGUGUCCAACGUUUGACCAUUCGUCUUAUUUGAAAUUUUUUUGCGAUUAAUAUUUUUAUUGUUACUACAUGAUAAAAUAUGAAUAGUACUUUACAUGUGACUAAUUUUUUUUAAGUUUUUGUAUAAAUUUUUCAAAUAAGACAAAUGGUCAAACGUUGGACACAGAAAAAC
rnacentral:pre_miRNA from 1 species